AGUCAAAAACUACUAGCUGCAAAUCACGACAAGAUAAAAGUAAAGUAGUCGUAUCAAAAAUGCUUAUCAUUAUCGAUUGACGGGGUGAUCGACCUUAUAUUAAAGCUCAUAUACAAACAAUUCAUUCUAUUAUCGUUUUAUUGCAGUGUUUAAAUGUACAUUUAAAAGCGCGUAGUGUUGCGUAUGACAAACUCAUAUUCCUAGUCGUAUAAUAUUCUUAGUAUACAUUCUUUACUUUGAAAUUUUAUUUAUGUGGUCUAGACUAAGUGAUUAUUUUAUAAAAAUAGAAUUAUAAAAAAUGCUUGUCAUCCAAAAUGUAACGCGAGAAAGGAUUUCCAAAAUCUACGCAAUAGUAAAUAACUUAUAAUGUUUUGAAAUUUUGAGAAAGAAGUACCUGUCAAAUAACAGUAAUAGCAAACUAUGACGUCACUGAGUAACACCUGCCAUGACGUUGAAAGAUAUAGGGCGAUUACUCCAUCACACCCCAAUUUCAGUCAAAACAUUUUUUUAAAAUAUGCUGAUUUCAAUGAAGAAUUUAUAUUUUGUAUUGUUUUAUAUUACAAUAAAAUAAUGUACAAUAUCAUAAGAGCAUAGCAUAGGAGACUAGCCUAUAUGUAUAUAUAUGGGCUAAGUAGGUAUUCAUUUGCGUAACAAGCGGACCUAUAUAUUAUUACUUACUAUACGAGUAGUGAGAUUUUUAAAUAUUUGUUAUGUUGUAUCUAUUUUAUCAAAAUAUGAAGAAAGCAGAAAAGUAGAUUUGUUUCUUAAUGACGCGUAUCCCCAUGCAAACAAAAUACCUACUUGUAUAAUUUAUGAUAUGAUAUAUUUUCAAGUACGUUGUCGUAGAAAGUAAUACCUACUUACUUAUUUGAUAGAAUUUUUACGUCUUGAAUUUUAGAGCGUUGAAAUUACAGGUCGUGGAUGGCGGAAAUUCAGUGUUAUUAGCCGGCGUGGUAGACUCCCCCACGUACAUAUUAACGAGCCAGGCCGGACCGCUUGGGAAGGAUUCCGCACCGCUACCAACGCCGCUGCUGCUGGCGGUAUCACCACCAUCGUUGAUAUGCCAUUAAAUUCAAUUCCCCCAACUACAACUCUAGAAAACCUUAAAAUCAAGGCAGCCGCUACAAAA